GGCUCUGUAGCUUUGAGGAAAGAAGCGCCCGUCUGGCGAACUGGGAGUCGUGGGUUCAACUCCCACCGGGGCAC
rfam:Aedes albopictus isolate Foshan contig10345, whole genome shotgun sequence.